rnacentral:rRNA from 1 species
AUGCAGUCGAGCGGGGUUUUCGGACCUAGCGGCGGACGGGUGAGUAAUGCGUAGGAAGCUACCCGAUAGAGGGGGAUACCAGUUGGAAACGACUGUUAAUACCGCAUAAUGUCUACGGACCAAAGUGUGGGACCUUCGGGCCACACACUAUCGGAUGCGCCUACGUGGGAUUAACUAGUUGGUGAGGUAAUGGCUCACCAAGGCGACGAUCUCUAGCUGGUUUGAGAGGAUGAUCAGCCACACUGGAACUGAGACACGGUCCAGACUCCUACGGGAGGCAGCAGUGGGGAAUAUUGGACAAUGGGCGCAAGCCUGAUCCAGCCAUGCCGCGUGUGUGAAGAAGGCCUUCGGGUUGUAAAGCACUUUCAGCGAGGAGGAAGGGGUAGGUGUUAAUAGCAUCUACUUUUGACGUUACUCGCAGAAGAAGCACCGGCUAACUCUGUGCCAGCAGCCGCGGUAAUACAGAGGGUGCAAGCGUUAAUCGGAAUUACUGGGCGUAAAGCGCACGCAGGCGGUUGGUUAAGUCAGAUGUGAAAGCCCCGGGCUCAACCUGGGAAUUGCAUUUGAAACUGGCCAACUAGAGUAUGUGAGAGGGGGGUAGAAUUCCAAGUGUAGCGGUGAAAUGCGUAGAGAUUUGGAGGAAUACCAGUGGCGAAGGCGGCCCCCUGGCACAAUACUGACGCUCAG